UGAAAGGACAGUCUAUUCUCCUCCACUGGUUGAAGGACAUCGUCAACCAUUUUUGGUGGUGUUGUAAAACGGCUGACACCAAAGAUCAGUUUCUUGCACUUUGGAUUGGCAUUUGUCACGAUGUCUGCAACAUCCACACAUGGCAAAUGGGAAGCUGCUAACACAGCGAUCUGGGAGAAGGGCUUGGGAAGCAGUAGAUCCAGAGAGUCUCACAAAGCAUUAGUGGACAUAGUUUUCAACAAGCGUUGGCUGAAGGAUGUCCACAAAUAUCUGCGUUUCAGAUCAACAGCAGACCUGGAGUCAUUCCAGAACCAUGUUCUGAUGUAUGCCAGCAAGCGCUUUGCUUUCACUCCCCCGGUUUAUGAGGCAAGAGUUCUGCUGGCAGCUCUUGACUACAAUUUCCACCGCAACAGACCAACAAGUACUACGUCUGAGGGCAAACAAAUAUUUCAGAAGACUGUACAACAAACAUGCAAGACAAUACAGCUUGUACGCCCUGAAAUCUGAGAAAACCUACAAAUACAUCUCAGAACUGCAGGGGAAAAUUCUAAACAAGAGACUCAGAAGUGCAGGUGGGAUGCCUCAAAGGAGAAGCCUUCGGCCCAAUGACCCAAGAAGACUUGGUGUCGUCCCCCCUAUACCUCCACCACCCAUAUCAGAGCUGAUGCGGACACAGAGGUCUUGGAUCUGCUUUCCAGGAGGCUGCAACUUUAGAAUGAUCCCUAUUGCCAGGGCUGGACUGGCCAUCUGGCAUACUGGGCAUUUUCCCAGUGGGCCGAUGCACUUUUGGGGCCGAAUUGCCGAUAUGAAUAGGCC